UUGAACGAAGUGGAGGAGCGCGAGCGGUCCCAUCAAGAGCUGCACCAACUGAGAAAGCAGAUGUCUGAGCUGGAGAGAAAUCUGGAACAAACCAGGCAGGAGUUGAACAAGACCCGAACUCAUUCCGGCCAACUAGAGGAGCAAUGGCAUGCACGCUAGCAAUACCUGCUGGUCCAUUUGGAGGACAGCAGAGUGAAGGAAAAGCGGCUGGAGGACCAAAAGCAUAACUUAGAAGUCUGCUUGGUGGACGCCACUCAACAGAUACAAGAGCUGAAGACCGAACUGGGCGGAGCUGAGGGAAGAGUUCGCGCCCUAGAAACGCAACUCACUCAACUGGAAUGUGCCAAACGGGAAAUCGAGCAAAAGCUCUUCAGCGUGGUGUCCACUUUGAGGAGAAUAGGAGGCAUCCAGCUGGAUGGUUCAGUUAGCAUGCCCUAUAGAUUGCUGAGUCCAUCACGCAGAUGGAGCCCGGCUAGAGGCCAUGAGGACAAAGACGGUUCUAUCGAUGUGGAUCCGGAGGUGGUGCGAAAAGGCGUGCGCAACCUGAUGCAACAAGUCGCUCAAAUCGAAAGAGAGCGGGUAAUUAGUCACUC
rnacentral:lncRNA from 1 species